UACGAAGGGGGCUAGCGUUGCUCGGAAUCACUGGGCGUAAAGCGCACGUAGGCGGAUUGCUAAGUCAGGGGUGAAAUCCUGGAGCUCAACUCCAGAACUGCCUUUGAUACUGAGGAUCUUGAGUUCGGGAGAGGUGAGUGGAACUGCGAGUGUAGAGGUGAAAUUCGUAGAUAUUCGGAAGAACACCAGUGGCGAAGGCGACACACUGGCCCAAUACUGACGCUGAGGCGCGAAAGCGUGGGGAGCAAACAGG
rnacentral:rRNA from 1 species